CUCUGAACCUGGGUGUUAGUGCUGGUCUUGGAGGUGAGUGUCUCCUUUCUUCCAGGCUCCUGCCUCUUCCCUUGCCCCUUUCUCCAUCUCCUCUCCCAGAAGGCUCAGGGUUUCACUCAGUCAGACGGUGUCCUUGCCAGGGGCCACUUUUGGAGUCCUGCUGGAAACUUAUGUCUGUCUGUGCACUGUGUACUGGCAUAUGCAUGUGCAAGUGUGCUGCUGUGGGUAUCAAGUUAAAGGCAGGGUCAGGUCAGGGCAUUCUCAUGGUCACUGUAUCCUGCAGGAUUGUGAUAUGACUGAUGACAAAUGCCUAUAAUGUCUGGGACUGACCAUGAUGGAGACAUUUAAGAAAUUCAUGUCAUUGAGAUGUGUCAGGUGAUAUGAUCUUGACCUCUGAUCUGUCUUUGAUGGUGAUAUGACUGAGCUGAUCCAUGCUGAUGCAAGUGGCUGUGCGUUUGUAUUACCUGACUGCCAUGUGUAGAGUUGGCACAGGACAGAGGGAUGGGCUUUUUGGAUAUUUCAGGCUUGACAGCUGUGUGAGUACCCUUUGUCAUUCCCUUGUCUGUCCCUAGUCUUGUUCAGAGAGUCAGAGCAAGAGGCAGCAUCCCUGCUCCCCCGACGGAGCCUGGAAGAACCUCUGUCCCUGGAGGCUGGGCUAGGCUGCAUCCCUGAUUCAGUGGGCAGGCAGAGCUGGCUUAGCUUCUGCCUGCCUUAGCCUCAUCCAGCCAGAUGCCUCCAAGCAAGACCAGCUCCUCCCACUAGGUCCUUUCCUUUUCCUCCUCCUCUUGCUUCUUUUCAGCCAGACCUUGACUGUGUUUGCAGUAUGGGGGACACCCUGAACCCUGGACAGAGUAAUCACAGAGAGAGCAGCCCUUUUCUUUGCCCCUUGGAGGCUUCCAGAGGAAGUGACUACUAUGACAGGAACCUGGCACUGUUUGAGGAGGAACUGGACAUUCGCCCAAAGGUGUCAUCUCUUCUGGGCAAGCUUGUCAGCUAUACCAACCUCACCCAGGGCGCCAAGGAGCAUGAGGAGGCUGAGAGUGGAGAAGGCUCCCGUCGGAGAGCAGCCAAGGCACCCAGCAUGGGCACACUCAUGGGGGUGUACCUGCCCUGCCUGCAAAAUAUCUUUGGGGUCAUCCUCUUCCUGCGGCUGACCUGGAUGGUGGGCACAGCCGGGGUGCUACAGGCCCUCCUUAUUGUCCUCAUCUGCUGCUGCUGUACACUGCUGACAGCUAUCUCCAUGAGUGCCAUCGCCACCAACGGUGUGGUUCCAGCUGGAGGCUCCUAUUUCAUGAUCUCCCGCUCACUGGGUCCAGAAUUUGGAGGUGCUGUGGGCUUGUGCUUCUAUCUGGGAACAACAUUUGCGGCAGCUAUGUAUAUCCUGGGGGCCAUUGAGAUCUUGCUGACCUACAUUGCUCCACCAGCCGCCAUUUUUUACCCAUCAGGCUCUCAUGACACGUCAAGCGCCACCUUGAAUAAUAUGCGAGUAUAUGGGACCAUUUUUCUGACUUUCAUGACACUGGUGGUAUUUGUUGGUGUCAAGUAUGUGAACAAAUUUGCCUCACUCUUCCUGGCCUGUGUGAUUAUCUCCAUCUUCUCUAUCUAUGCUGGGGGCAUCAAGUCCAUUUUUGACCCUCCCGUGUUUCCGGUGUGCAUGCUGGGUAACAGGACCCUGUCCCGGGACCAGUUUGAUGUUUGCGCCAAGACGGUUGUGUUGGACAAUGAGACAGUGGCCACCCGGCUGUGGAGUUUCUUCUGCCACAGCCCCAACCUUACUACUGACUCCUGUGACCCCUACUUCCUGCUCAACAAUGUGACGGAGAUCCCUGGCAUUCCCGGGGCAGCUGCUGGUGUGCUCCAGGAGAACUUGUGGAGUGCCUACCUGGAGAAGGGAGAGUUCGUGGAGAAGCGAGGUCUGCCCUCCACAGACGCCCUUGGCCUGAAGGAGAGCCUGCCCCUGUAUGUGGUAGCUGAUAUCGCCACAUCCUUCACUGUGCUGGUUGGCAUCUUCUUCCCCUCUGUAACAGGCAUCAUGGCUGGCUCAAACCGCUCCGGGGACCUCCGUGAUGCCCAGAAAUCCAUCCCGGUGGGAACCAUUCUGGCCAUCGUUACAACCUCGCUUGUGUACUUCAGCAGUGUGGUUCUCUUCGGCGCCUGCAUUGAGGGUGUAGUGCUCCGAGACAAGUAUGGCGACGGUGUCAGCAGGAACCUGGUGGUGGGCACAUUGGCCUGGCCUUCGCCCUGGGUCAUCGUUGUUGGCUCUUUCUUCUCAACAUGUGGUGCUGGCCUCCAGAGUCUUACUGGGGCACCUCGUCUAUUGCAGGCCAUUGCCAAGGACAACAUCAUCCCCUUCCUCCGGGUGUUCGGCCAUGGGAAAGCAAAUGGUGAACCAACGUGGGCACUCCUCCUGACUGCACUCAUUGCUGAGCUGGGCAUCCUCAUUGCCUCCCUCGACAUGGUGGCCCCCAUUCUAUCCAUGUUCUUUCUGAUGUGUUACCUAUUUGUGAACCUGGCCUGUGCUGUACAGACACUCCUGAGGACCCCCAACUGGCGGCCCCGGUUCAAAUACUAUCAUUGGGCGCUGUCCUUCCUGGGCAUGAGCCUCUGCCUGGCCCUUAUGUUUGUUUCCUCCUGGUACUAUGCUCUGGUUGCCAUGCUCAUCGCAGGCAUGAUCUACAAGUACAUCGAGUACCAAGGGGCUGAGAAGGAAUGGGGUGAUGGGAUCAGAGGCCUAUCCCUGAGUGCUGCCCGCUAUGCGCUGUUGAGGCUGGAAGAGGGGCCUCCUCAUACCAAGAACUGGCGGCCUCAGCUCCUGGUGCUGUUAAAGCUGGAUGAAGACCUUCAUGUGAAGUACCCACGACUCCUCACCUUUGCCUCUCAGCUUAAGGCUGGCAAGGGCCUGACGAUUGUUGGCUCCGUCAUCCAGGGCAGCUUCUUGGAGAGCUAUGGCGAGGCCCAGGCUGCUGAGCAGACAAUCAAGAACAUGAUGGAGAUUGAGAAAGUGAAAGGCUUCUGUCAGGUAGUGGUGGCCAGCAAGGUGCGUGAGGGGCUGGCCCACCUCAUCCAGUCUUGUGGCCUGGGUGGCAUGAGGCAUAACACCGUGGUGCUGGGCUGGCCCUAUGGUUGGCGACAGAGUGAGGACCCACGUGCCUGGAAGACCUUUAUUGACACAGUGCGCUGCACCACAGCUGCCCACUUGGCCCUGCUUGUGCCCAAGAACAUUGCCUUCUACCCCAGCAACCACGAGCGCUACCUGGAGGGCCACAUCGAUGUGUGGUGGAUUGUACAUGACGGUGGCAUGCUCAUGCUUUUGCCCUUCCUGCUGCGCCAACAUAAGGUUUGGAGAAAGUGCAGGAUGCGCAUCUUCACGGUUGCCCAGAUGGAUGACAACAGCAUCCAGAUGAAGAAGGAUCUGGCCAUCUUCCUAUACCACCUCCGCCUUGAGGCAGAGGUGGAGGUGGUAGAGAUGCAUAAUAGCGACAUAUCUGCAUAUACCUAUGAGCGCACACUGAUGAUGGAGCAGCGGUCCCAGAUGCUGCGGCAAAUGAGGCUGACCAAGACUGAGAGGGAACGUGAAGGACCAGUCCAACGUGCGGCGUAUGCACACUGCUGUGAAGCUCAAUGAAGUUAUUGUCACACGAUCCCAUGAUGCCCGCCUAGUCCUACUGAACAUGCCUGGCCCACCCAAGAACAGUGAAGGUGAUGAGAACUACAUGGAGUUCCUUGAAGUACUGACUGAGGGCCUUGAACGGGUGCUGUUGGUGCGUGGUGGUGGUCGUGAAGUCAUUACCAUCUAUUCCUGAGCCCAGUGUGGUCUUAUGGCCUAGAGUGGGGGUAUCCAAGGCAAUAGCCCCCACCUGAGCACCUACUUGCCAGUUCUGCUUUGCCCAGCCUUGCCUUGGGCCAGCUUUGCUAGGUCUCCUGGGAAACCAGGUCUGGGCCUGGCAACGGAGAUGGAUUUGAGUUCCUGUGGGACCCUGGGAGGUGUGGGGACUUUCCUCUCCAAUACCCCAGUAGGAUGCCCUGGCUAAAGACGACCCGGUGGGGGCUGAUGUGGGUUUUAAGGCCCAGCCCAGCCCAAGAGCACUAUUUAUUGUAUAUUUAUUGUUUGGAUGUCACCAUUUGGGAGAAGGGGAAGGGCAGAAAGGGCGGGGGUUGAACUCAUCCUGCUUGCAGGAAGACCUGGCUCAGACUACUGUGGGCAGGGACCCCCAUUAAGCCAAGAGGAAUGGAGCUGGCCGAGCUAAGGCCUGACUUUCUUCAAUAAAACAUUGUGUACUCUGG